GUCCAGGUACUAGCAGGUAGACAGCCCAGGUACUAGCAGGUAGACAGCCCAGGUACUAGCAGGUAGAAGGUAGACAGUCCAGGUACUAGCAGGUAGACAGUCCAGGUACUAGCAGGUACUACCUCUAUCCAGAGCAGGUAGAAGGUAGACAGUCCAGGUACUAGCAGGUAGAAGGUAGACAGUCCAGGUACUAGCAGGUAGACAGUCCAGG